CCUUAUAUAUGCAGAAAACACCAUAACAAGACUAGUUCCUCUCAUUUAUAUAUUUCCAAGAAAAUUUCAAAAACUCUUUGCUAAUGGCUUUUUCAGGUAGCUUAGUGCUCAAAACCAUGCUAACAUUUCCCACCUUCAAGCCAUAUCUACACAAGACAAUAAUAGCCAUGAGAUGCAUGGCUACAACAAGGAGGCCACCACCAAGGCCACCCAUAAAAACUAAACCACCACAAAACAAUAUUAUCAAAGACAAGAAAGAGAAUGCGAUGAUAGAGGAGAAGAGUAACAUAAAGCUACAACAAGAUAAUUCCAUGGUCAAAGCAAAUUAGUUUUUAGGAAUAAUCUUGUUUGUCAAAGAUCAUAAAUAAGCUGUUUAUACUUGGUCAAAGAAUAAAUGCAUGUUUUUGUUAUUAGGGAAACUAGUAGCAGCGAAGUGCUCCAUUAGUUUAUUCCUACCAACAUAUAUAAAGUAAUACGUAUAUAUGUUUGAUAUUUUAUUUACAUGUAGACACUUUUCAAAUCCUCUUUUGAAUAUAACCAAUUCUGAAAUCUAUGAAAUUGGUUAUUUCUCACAAGUAGAAGCCGAAAAGUGACAAGUGAUCGUUUCUAUCGUUCUUGUGUUGUCCUUUAGGUUUCUUUUUUCUUUUGGUUAUCCUGUUAGGGAUCCUUUGGUUUAUUUAUAAAAUUAUAUACAAGGGAUUGUUUUAUA